rnacentral:rRNA from 1 species
UGGGCAACCUGCCCCUCUCUCUGGGAUAACCCCCGGGGAAACCGGAGCUAAUACCGGAUACUCCGGCUGGAUCGCAUGGUCCGGCCGGGAAAGGUCCGCCGGAGAGGGAUGAGCCCGCGGCGGAUUAGCUUGUUGGUGGGGUAAUGGCCUACCAAGGCAACGAUCCGUAGCUGGUCUGAGAGGACGAUCAGCCACACUGGGACUGAGACACGGCCCAGACCUCCGUACGGGAGGCA